AUUGAACGCUGGCGGCAGGCCUAACACAUGCAAGUCGAGCGGAGCGGCGGACGGGUGCGUAAUGCCUAGGAAUCUGCCUGGUAGUGGGGGAUAACGUCCGGAAACGGGUGCUAAUACCGCAUACUAUCAGAUUAUCCUAGGUCGGAUUAGCUAGUCGGUGGGGUAAAGGCCUACCAGGGCGACGAUCCGUAACUGGUCUGUGAGGAUGAUCAGUCACACUGGGACUAAGACACGGUCCAGGCUCCUACGGGAGGCAGCAGUGGGGAAUAUUGGACAAGAGGCGAAAGCCUGAUCCAGCCAUGCCGCGUGUGUGAAGAAGGUCUUCGGAUUGUAAAGCACUUUAAGUUGGGAGGCGUUACCAACAGAAUAAGCACCGGCUAACUUCGUGCCAGCAGCCGCGGUAAUUC
rnacentral:rRNA from 1 species